rnacentral:rRNA from 1 species
AAUUUUGGACAAUGGGGGCAACCCUGAUCCAGCCAUCCCGCGUGUGCGAUGAAGGCCUGCGGUUUGUAAAGCACUUUUGGCAGGGAAGAAACGGCUCUGGCUAAUACCUGGAGCUACUGACGGUACCUGCAGAUAAAGCACCGGCUAACUACGGGCCAGCAGCCGCGGUAAUACGUAGGGGGCAAGCGUUAAUCGGAAUUACUGGGCGUAAAGCGUGCGCAGGCGGUUUGGCAAGAAGGAUGUGAAAUCCCAGGGCUUAACCUUGGAACUGCAUUCUUAACUGCCAGGCUAGAGUAUGUCAGAGGGGGGUAGAAUUCCACGUGUAGCAGUGAAAUGCGUAGAGAUGUGGAGGAAUACCGAUGGCGAAGGCAGCCCCCUGGGAUAAUACUGACGCUCAUGCACGAAAGCGUGGGGAGCAAACAGG